GGGCUUCGUCAUAUUCAUAAACUUUACAGAAGGUCCACUAAUAUUGAGCAUUAAUAUCACUGAGAAAACUGGCAGUUUGGUGAAUCUGACCGGCGCAUCGCCAAGCUACAAAGUAAUUCAUUACGAUAACGACACCAUGAUACUGGCUAAUAAAUUCGCAACAUUUAGGGAACAAGCAUUAUGUUCAUUGUGGGUGACCGAUAAAUAUUAUAGAGGAGAAGAAACAGCUUUACCGGUGACAACGCGCUUAUAUUGGCACUCGAACUGCAAGAACGCGACUUUUGUUCCAUAUCCUAAUUAUUGCUUCGGGUGAUAUAAUUAAAAAUAAAGCUCUUCUGUU